rnacentral:misc_RNA from 1 species
UGUUUGAGGUUUUAAUGUUCCCAAUUUUGUUAGAUGAUUCUUAUUUGGCAAGUGAAUUUGAAACAUUCAUUGACACAAUCGAUAAAACUCAUGAACUAACCUUGGGUGGACACCAACAGUAUCCGGGAGUUUAUGCGUUACUUUUCCAUAAAGGUCGAAGAGCUCGUUCUAUUGGUUUGCGACUGGCUGGACGCAUGAGUAAAUUGAGGCAAUCAGCAGAGUUGGAUGCUUUGCAGCAUUUGCUAAAGAAGUACAUUUCUUAUUUGGCAGCAGAUUUUUCACCAUUAUCUACGCCGAAUCUAAGGCCUAGGGUUGAGUUGGAUCGAGUUACUGUAUGGCUUGGGAUCAAAGCAUUGCUUGGAUUCUUGGAGCCUCCUGCUUUUGAAGAAGGCAUUUUAGAUCGCUAUCCCAUUUUUCUGAGUGUUGUUCUCAACCAUAUCAGUG